GACGAACGCUGGCGGCGUGCUUAACACAUGCAAGUCGAACGGAAAGGCCCUGCUUUUGUGAGGUGCUCGAGUGGCGAACGGGUGAGUAACACGUGAGUAACCUGCCCUUGACUUUGGGAUAACUUCAGGAAACUGGGGCUAAUACCGGAUAGGAGCUCCUGCUGCAUGGUGGGGGUUGGAAAGUUUCGGCGGUUGGGGAUGGACUCGCGGCUUAUCAGCUUGUUGGUGGGGUAGUGGCUUACCAAGGCUUUGACGGGUAGCCGGCCUGAGAGGGUGACCGGCCACAUGAGGACUGAGAUACGGCCCAGACUCCUACGGGAGGCAGCAGUGGGGAAUAUUGCGCAAUGGGCGGGAGCCUGAUGCAGCGACGCCGCGUGCGGAAUGACGGCCUUCGGGUUGUAAACCGCUUUCGCCUGUGACGAAGCGUGAGUGACGAUAAUGGGUAAAGAAGCACCGGCUAACUACGUG
rnacentral:rRNA from 1 species